UGGCUGUUCCACUGGUUGUCAUAAGGUGUAUGCACCAAUUUGUAAGUCGCUCUGGAUAAGAGCGUCUGCUAAAUGACUUAAAUGUAAAUGUAGACUGAUGUAGGCUGUUACCACACUGCUACUGUAGGCUGAUGUAGGCUGUUAGCACCACACUGCUACUGUAGGCUGAUGUAGGUUGUUACCAUCACACUGCUACUGCAGGCUGAUGUAGGUUGUUACCUUCACACUGCUACUGUAGGCUUAUGUAGGUUGUUACCUUCACAUUGCUACUGUAGGCUGAUGUAGGUUGUUACCACACUGCUACUGUAGGCUGAUGUAGGUUGUUACCACACUGCUACUGUAGGCUGAUGUAGGCUGUUAGCACCACACUGCUACUGUAGGCUGAUGUAGGUUGUUACCAUCACACUGCUACUGCAGGCUGAUGUAGGUUGUUACCUUCACACUGCUACUGUAGGCUUAUGUAGGUUGUUACCUUCACAUUGCUACUGUAGGCUGAUGUAGGUUGUUACCACACUGCUACUGUAGGCUGAUGUAGGUUGUUACCACACUGCUACUGUAGGCUGAUGUAGGCUGUUAGCACCACACUGCUACUGUAGGCUGAUGUAGGUUGUUACCAUCACACUGCUACUGCAGGCUGAUGUAGGUUGUUACCUUCACACUGCUACUGUAGGCUUAUGUAGGUUGUUACCUUCACAUUGCUACUGUAGGCUGAUGUAGGUUGUUACCACACUGCUACUGUAGGCUGAUGUAGGUUGUUACCACACUGCUACUGUAGGCUGAUGUAGGUUGUUACCACACUGCUACUGUAGGCUGAUGUAGGUUGUUACCACACUGCUACUGUAGGCUGAUGUAGGUUGUUACCUUCACACUGCUACUGUAGGCAGAUGUAGGUUGUUACCUUCACACUGCUACUGUAGGCAGAUGUAGGUUGUUACCUUCACACUGCUACUGUAGGCUGAUGUAGGUUGUUACCACACUGCUACUGUAGGCUGAUGUAGGUUGUUACCACACUGCUACUGUAGGCUGAUGUAGGUUGUUACCACACUGCUACUGUAGGCUGAUGUAGGUUGUAACCUUCACACUGCUACUGUAGGCUGAUGUAGGUUGUUACCAUCACACUGCUACUGUAGGCUGAUGUAGAUUGUUACCUUCACACUGCUACUGUAGGCUGAUGUAGGUUGUUACUUUCACACCGCUACUGUAGGCUGAUGUAGGUUGUUACCACACUGCUACUGUAGGCUGAUGUAGAUUGUUACCUUCACACUGCUGCUGUAGGCUGAUGUAGGUUGUAACCUUCACACUGCUACUGUAGGCUGAUGUAGGUUGUUACCAUCACACUGCUACUGUAGGCUGAUGUAGAUUGUUACCACACUGCUACUGUAGGCUGAUGUAGGUUGUUACACCACACUGCUACUGUAGACUGAUGUAGGUUGUUACACCACAAUGCUACUGUAGACUGAUGUAGGUUGUUACCACACUACUACUGUAGACUGAUGUAGGUUGUUACCACCACACUGCUGAUGUAGGUUGUUACACCU